rnacentral:rRNA from 1 species
GACGAACGCUGGCGGCGCGCCUAACACAUGCAAGUCGAACGAGAGAUGAGGAGCUUGCUCUUCAAAUCGAGUGGCGAACGGGUGAGUAACGCGUGAGGAACCUGCCUCAAAGAGGGGGACAACAGUUGGAAACGACUGCUAAUACCGCAUAAGCCCACGGCUCGGCAUCGAGCAGAGGGAAAAGGAGCAAUCCGCUUUGAGAUGGCCUCGCGUCCGAUUAGCUGGUUGGUGAGGUAACGGCCCACCAAGGCGACGAUCGGUAGCCGGACUGAGAGGUUGAACGGCCACAUUGGGACUGAGACACGGCCCAGACUCCUACGGGAGGCAGCAGUGGGGAAUAUUGCACAAUGGGGGAAACCCUGAUGCAGCGACGCCGCGUGGAGGAAGAAGGUCUUCGGAUUGUAAACUCCUGUUGUUGAGGAAGAUAAUGACG